rnacentral:ncRNA from 1 species
UAACAUCAAUUUUUACUUAACUUAUACAUGCAAGCAUCCACACCCCAGUGAAGAAACCCAUAGUUUUCCUGCAGAUAACUAUUGGGUUGGUAUCAGGCACAACAAUUGGCCCAAUACACCUAGCACCGCCACACCCCCAAGGGCUACAGCAGUAAUUAACAUUGAACAUUAGCGCAAGCUUGACUCAGUCAAAGUAAUUAAGAGCCGGCAAACUCUGUGCCAGCCGCCGCGGUCAAACCGUUACGGGCCCUAAUUGAUACUCAUCGGCGUAAAGAGUGAUUAAAGCCACUACACAAUAGAAUCAAACUUAAACUAAUAUGUGAAAAUCUUGUUUUCUGGAUCACCAAACACGAAAGUUAUUCUACUACUCCAACUUGAACUCACGAUAACUAGGGUACAAACUGGGACUUGAUACCCCACUAUGCCUAGUCAUAAACUUUAACUUACACCACAUCGCCAGGGAAUUACGAGCUAAACUUAAAACCCAAAGGACUUGACGGUACCCCAAAUCCAUCUAGAGGAGCCUGUCUCAUAAUCGAUAAUCCACGUUAAACCCCACCACUCCUUGCCUACAGCCUGUAUACUUCCGUCGCAAGCCUGCCCCAUGAGUGAAAAUCAGCAGACUCAAUGUUUACCAACAAUACGUCAGGUCAAGGUGCAGCAAAUGGACUGGCGAAGAUGGGCUACACUUUCUAACCUAGAAAAUACGAAAGACUUUAUGAAACCUAGUCAGAAGGCGGAUUUAGUAGUAAAAAGAAAACAGAAUAUUCUUUUUAACCCGGCACUGGGGUGUGUACACACCGCCCGUCACCCUCUUCAAACCACCAACAAUAGUUUAUAACAAACAACCACUUAAAAGAAGAGGCAAGUCGUAACAUGGUA